GCUGGGCAUGGUUGUACAUGCCUGUAAUCCCAGCUACUUGGGAGGCUGAGGAAGGAGGAUGGUAAGUUUGAGGCCAGCCUGGGCAACUUAGUGAGACCCUGCCUCAA
rnacentral:sRNA from 1 species